CUGGAGAUAAAGCUCUGUUGGUAGAGUGUUUGCCUGGCAUGCCCAAGACCCUGGAUUCAAUCCCCAGUAUUCAAG
rnacentral:tRNA from 1 species